AAGGUGGGGAUGACGUCAAAUCAUCAUGCCCCUUAUGUUCUGGGCUACACACGUGCUACAAUGGCCGGUACAGACGGACGCAAAGCCGCGAGGUGGAGCAAAUCCUAAAAAGACCGGUCUCAGUUCGGAUUGCAGGCUGCAAUUCGCCUGCAUGAAGUCGGAAUCGCUAGUAAUCGCGGAUCAGCAUGCCGCGGUGAAUACGUUCCGGGCCUU
rnacentral:rRNA from 1 species